rnacentral:rRNA from 1 species
GAUGAACGCUGGCGGCGUGCCUAAUACAUGCCAGUCGAGCGAACAGACGAGGAACUUGCUCCUCUGACGUUAGCGGCGGACGGGUGAGUAACACGUGGAUAACCUACCUAUAAGACUGGGAUAACUUCGGGAAACCGGAGCUAAUACCGGAUAAUAUAUUGAACCGCAUGGUUCAAUAGUGAAAGACGGUUUUGCUGUCACUUAUAGAUGGAUCCGCGCCGCAUUAGCUAGUUGGUAAGGUAACGGCUUACCAAGGCGACGAUGCGUAGCCGACCUGAGAGGGUGAUCGGCCACACUGGAACUGAGACACGGUCCAGACUCCUACGGGAGGCAGCAGUAGGGAAUCUUCCGCAAUGGGCGAAAGCCUGACGGAGCAACGCCGCGUGAGUGAUGAAGGUCUUCGGAUCGUAAAACUCUGUUAUUAGGGAAGAACAAAUGUGUAAGUAACUAUGCACGUCUUGACGGUACCUAAUCAGAAAGCCACGGCUAACUACGUG